GUGAAUCAUCAAAUUUUUGAACGCAAAUUGCACUCUCCUCGGAGAGUAUGCCUGUUUUAGGUUCAGCCUAUAAAAAAUCGACAUUAUUUCUGUUUCGCGGUGGCGUGCGUCGGAAGUUGGGUCAUCUUAAAUCUGUUUGUUUUAAACUACUUAAAAUUUUGUUUUUUGUUCCAUGAAAUGUUCUAAGAUUUAUGUUUUUACACUUUUAAGGUAUCGAUUUUUAUUACACGUGACCAUCAGAUCGAAUCUCUC
rnacentral:misc_RNA from 1 species